rnacentral:ncRNA from 1 species
CGUCCAGGAAGGCAGCAGGCGCGAAACUUAUCCACUGUGAGUAUGAGAUAGUGACUAAAAAUAUAAAGACUCAUCCUUUUGGAUGAGUUAUUUCAAUGAGUUGAAUAUAAAUUAUUCUUCGAGUAGCAAGGAGAGGGCAAGUCUGGUGCCAGCAGCCGCGGUAAUUCCAGCUCUCCUAGUGUAUCUCGUUAUUGCUGCGGUUAAAAAGCUCGUAGUUGGAUCUAGGUUACGUGCCGCAGUUCGCAAUUUGCGUUAACUGUGGUCGUGACUUCUAAUUUGCUGGUUUGAGGUUGGGUUCGCCCUUCAACUGCCAGCAGGUUUACCUUGAAUAAAUCAGAGUGCUCAAUACAGGCGCUUGCUUGAAUAGCUCAUCAUGGAAUAAUGAAACAGGACUUCGGUUCUUUUUGUUGGUUCUAGAAUUGAUCUAAUGGUUAAGAGGGACAAACCGGGGGCAUUCGUAUCAUUACGCGAGAGGUGAAAUUCGUGGACCGUAGUGAGACGCCCAAUAGCGAAAGCAUUUGCCAAGAAUGUCUUCAUUAAUCAAGAACGAAAGUCAGAGGUUCGAAGGCGAUUAGAUACCGCCCUAGUUCUGACCGUAAACGAUGCCAUCUCGCGAUUCGGAGGGUUCAUGCCCUACCGAGGAGCUACCCGGAAACGAAAGUCUUUCGGUUCCGGUUGCAAAGCUGAAACUUAAAGAAAUUGACGGAAGGGCACCACAAGGCGUGGAGCUUGCGGCUUAAUUUGACUCAACACGGGAAAACUCACCCGGUCCGGACACUAUUAGGACUGACAGAUUGAAAGCUCUUUCUCGAUUUGGUGGUUGGUGGUGCAUGGCCGUUCUUAGUUGGUGGAGUGAUUUGUCUGGUUUAUUCCGAUAACGAGCGAGACUCUAGCCUGCUAAAUAGUCGACGAAUCUUCGGGUUCGUAUAACUUCUUAGAGGGAUAAGCGGUGUUUAGCCGCACGAGAUUGAGCGAUAACAGGUCUGUGAUGCCCUUAGAUGUCCGGGGCUGCACGCGUGCUACACUGGUGGAGUCAGCGGGUUUUUCCUAUGCCGAAAGGUAUCGGUAAACCGUUGAACUUCUUCCAUGUCCGGGAUAGGGUAUUGUAAUUAUUACCCUUAAACGAGGAAUGCCUAGUAAGUGUGAGUCAUCAGCUCACGUUGAUUACGUCCCUGCCCUUUGUACACACCGCCCGUCGCUAUCCGGGACUGAACUGAUUCGAGAAGAGUGGGGACUGUGGCUGCGAGGUUUUACCACUUCGCAGUUGCGGAAACCAUUUUUAUCGCAUUGGUUUGAACCGGGUAAAAGUCGUAACAAGGUAGCUGUAGGUGAACCUGCAGCUGGAUCAUCG